rnacentral:rRNA from 1 species
AUGAACGCUGGCGGCGUGCCUAAUACAUGCAAGUCGAGCGAACAGACGAGGAGCUUGCUCCUCUGACGUUAGCGGCGGACGGGUGAGUAACACGUGGAUAACCUACCUAUAAGACUGGGAUAACUUCGGGAAACCGGAGCUAAUACCGGAUAAUAUAUUGAACCGCAUGGUUCAAUAGGGAAAGACGGUUUUGCUGUCACUUAUAGAUGUAUCCGCGCCGCAUUAGCUAGUUGGUAAGGUAACGGCUUACCAAGGCAACGAUGCGUAGCCGCCCUGAGAGGGUGAUCGGCCACACUGGAACUGAGGCACGGCCCAGACGCCUACGGGAGGCAGCGGUAGGGAAUCUUCCGGGAUGGGCGAAAGCCUAACGGAGCAACGCCGCGUGAGUGAUGAAGGUCUUCGGAUCGUAAAACUCUGUUAUUAGGGAAGAACAAAUGUGUAAGUAACUAUGCACGUCUUGACGGUACCUAAUCAGAAAGCCACGGCUAACUACGUG